GGAUUAGAUACCCUGGUAGUCCACGCCGUAAACGAUGAGAGCUAGUUGUCUGGCAGCAUGCUGUCAGGUGACGCAGCUAACGCAUUAAGCUCUCCGCCUGGGGAGUACGGCCGCAAGGUUAAAACUCAAAGAAAUUGACGGGGGCCCGCACAAGCGGUGGAGCAUGUGGUUUAAUUCGAAGCAACGCGAAGAACCUUACCUGCGCUUGACAUCCUGAUCGCGGAUUAGAGAGAUCUUUUCCUUCAGCUCGGCUGGAUCAGUGACAGGUGCUGCAUGGCUGUCGUCAGCUCGUGCCG
rnacentral:rRNA from 1 species